rnacentral:rRNA from 1 species
UACGUAGGGUGCAAGCGUUUGUCCGGAAUUAUUGGGCGUAAAGAGCUCGUAGGCGGUCUGUUACGUCUGCUGUGAAAACCCAGGGCUUAACCCUGGGCUUGCAGUGGAUACGGGCAGACUAGAGGCAGGUAGGGGAGAAUGGAAUUCCCGGUGUAGCGGUGAAAUGCGCAGAUAUCGGGAGGAACACCGGUGGCGAAGGCGGUUCUCUGGGCCUGACCUGACGCUGAGGAGCGAAAGCGUGGGGAGCGAACAGG